rnacentral:rRNA from 1 species
UAACGGUCCUAAGGUAGCGAAAUUCCUUGUCGGGUAAGUUCCGACCCGCACGAAAGGCGCAACGAUCUGGGCACUGUCUCAACGAGAGACUCGGUGAAAUUAUAGUACCUGUGAAGAUGCAGGUUACCCGCGACAGGACGGAAAGACCCCGUGGAGCUUUACUGCAACCUGAUAUGGAAUGUUUGUACCGCUUGUACAGGAUAGGUAGGAGCCGAAGAGACGUGUGCGCUAGCAUACGAGGAGGCAAUGGUGGGAUACUACCCUGGCUGUAUGACCAUUCUAACCCGCCACGCUUAGCGCGUGGGGAGACAGUGUCAGGUGGGCAGUUUGACUGGGGCGGUCGCCUCCUAAAGAGUAACGGAGGCGCCCAAAGGUUCCCUCAGAAUGGAUGGAAAUCAUUCGCAGAGUGUAAAGGCACAAGGGAGCUUGACUGCGAGACUGACAAGUCGAGCAGGGACGAAAGUCGGGCUUAGUGAUCCGGUGGUUCCGCAUGGAAGGGCCAUCGCUCAACGGAUAAAAGCUACCCCGGGGAUAACAGGCUUAUCUCCCCCAAGAGUCCACAUCGACGGGGAGGUUUGGCACCUCGAUGUCGGCUCGUCGCAUCCUGGGGCUGUAGUCGGUCCCAAGGGUUGGGCUGUUCGCCCAUUAAAGCGGCACGCGAGCUGGGUUCAGAACGUCGUGAGACAGUUCGGUCCCUAUCCGUCGCGGGCGCAGGAAAUUUGAGAGGAGCUGUCCUUAGUACGAGAGGACCGGGAUGGACACACCGCUGGUGUACCAGUUGUUCCGCCAGGAGCAUCGCUGGGUAGCUAUGUGUGGCAGGGAUAAACGCUGAAAGCAUCUAAGCGUGAAGCCCCCCUCAAGAUGAGAUUUCCCAUUUCUUCGGAAAGUAAGAUCCCUGAAAGAUGAUCAGGUAGAUAGGUUUGGAGUGGAAGUGUAGCGAUACAUGGAGCGGACAAAUACUAAUCGAUCGAGGACUUAACCAA